rnacentral:rRNA from 1 species
GAUGAACGCUGGCGGCGUGCCUAAUACAUGCAAGUCGAACGAAACUUCUUUAUCACCGAGUGCUUCCACUCACCGAUAAAGAGUUGAGUGGCGAACGGGUGAGUAACACGUGGGCAACCUGCCCAAAAGAGGGGGAUAACACUUGGAAACAGGUGCUAAUACCGCAUAACCAUAGUUACCGCAUGGUAACUAUGUAAAAGGUGGCUAUACUACCGCUUUUGGAUGGGCCCGCGGCGCAUUAGCUAGUUGGUAGGGUAAAGGCUUACCAAGGCAAUGAUGCGUAGCCGAAUUGAGAGGUUGAUCGGCCACAUUGGGACUGAGACACGGCCCAAACUCCUACGGGAGGCAGCAGUAGGGAAUCUUCCACAAUGGGCGAAAGCCUGAUGGAGCAACGCCGCGUGGGUGAAGAAGGUCUUCGGAUCGUAAAACCCUGUUGUUAGAGAAGAAAGUGCGUGAGAGUAACUGUUCACGUUUCGACGGUAUCUAACCAGAAAGCCACUGCUAACUACGUG